GAUGAACGCUAGCGGGAGGCCUAACACAUGCAAGCCGAGCGGUAGAGUUUCUUCGGAAACUUGAGAGCGGCGCACGGGUGCGUAACACGUGUGCAACCUACCUUUAUCUGUGGGAUAGCCUUUCGAAAGGAAGAUUAAUACCCCAUAAUAUAAUGAUUGGCAUCAAUUAUUAUUGAAAACUCCGGUGGAUAGAGAUGGGCACGCGCAAGAUUAGAUAGUUGGUGAGGUAACGGCUCACCAAGUCAAUGAUCUUUAGGGGUCCUGAGAGGGAGAUCCCCCAGAAUGGUGAUGAGGCACGGACCAGAAUCGUACGCGAGGCAGCAGUGAGGAAUAUUGGACGAGGGGGGAGAGCCUGAUCCAGCCAUCCCGCGUGAAGGAGGACGGUCCUAUGGAUUGUAAACUUCUUUUGAACAGGGAUAAACCUACCAUCGUGAGGGUAGCUGAAGGUACUGAACGAAUAAGCACCGGCUAACUCCGUG
rnacentral:rRNA from 1 species